GCCCCAGUGGCGCAAUGGAUAGCGCGUCGAACUUCUAAUCCGGAGGUUGAGGGUUCGAGUCCCUCCUGGGGUG
rnacentral:tRNA from 1 species